UUGAAUCCUAUGGUAGUAGAAUGACCUGCUAACACGUAAGAACAUCGGGUAAGUGUCAAGGGGCCUAGUGUCCUUUGUUUGCGAACCCAAGGUAGGUGUUAACUGAUGGUUGUCCACCUGCCAACAAAAUCAAUUGGGCGCUGAUUGCGCCAAGGAAACUGAUAACGAAUUGUUUGUCUACUUCUCUUUCACGGGAAGUGGCUUCAGUCCGAAACAC
rnacentral:rRNA from 1 species